rnacentral:miRNA from 1 species
UUGUCAUCUCAACCUUGUGUC